UGAGGAACAUGACCUUCGGCGGGGGAUAGCCGGCCCAACGGCCGGGUAAUACCGCGUACGACCACAUGGGGACAUCCCCGAGUGGUGAAAGCAGCAAUGCGCCGAUGGAGUGCCUCGCGGCCUAUCAGCUAGUUGGUGGGGUAACGGCUCACCAAGGCAACGACGGGUAGCUGGUCUGAGAGGAUGGCCAGCCACACUGGGACUGAGACACGGCCCAGACUCCUACGGGAGCAG
rnacentral:rRNA from 1 species